rfam:Rattus norvegicus chromosome 14, whole genome shotgun sequence.
GGGGAUUUGGCUCAGUGGUAGAGCGCUUACCUAGCAAGCGCAAGGCCCUGGGUUCGAUCCCCAGCUCCG